rnacentral:rRNA from 1 species
UACGGAGGGGGCGAGCGUUAUUCGGAAUUACUGGGCGUAAAGCGUGCGCAGGCGGCUUUGCAAGACAGAUGUGAAAUCCCCGGGCUCAACCUGGGAACUGCAUUUGUGACUGCAAGGCUAGAGUACGGCAGAGGGGGAUGGAAUUCCGCGUGUAGCAGUGAAAUGCGUAGAUAUGCGGAGGAACACCAAUGGCGAAGGCAAUCCCCUGGGCCUGUACUGACGCUCAUGCACGAAAGCGUGGGGAGCAAACAGG